AGUGAACGCUGGCGGUAGGCCUAACACAUGCAAGUCGAACGGCAGCACAGUAAGAGCUUGCUCUUACGGGUGGCGAGUGGCGGACGGGUGAGGAAUACAUCGGAAUCUACUUUUUCGUGGGGGAUAACGUAGGGAAACUUACGCUAAUACCGCAUACGACCUACGGUUGAAAGCAGGGGAUCUUCGGACCUUGCGCGAUUGAAUGAGCCGAUGUCGGAUUAGCUAGUUGGCGGGGUAAAGGCCCACCAAGGCGACGAUCCGUAGCUGGUCUGAGAGGAUGAUCAGCCACACUGGAACUGAGACACGGUCCAGACUACUACGGGAGGCAGCAGUGGGGAAUAUUGGACAAUGGGCGCAAGCCUGAUCCAGCCAUACCGAGUGGGUGAAGAAGGCCUUCGGGUUGUAAAGCCCUUUUGUUGGGAAAGAAAAGCAGCAGGUUAAUACCCCGCUGUUCUGACGGUACCCAAAGAAUAAGCACCGGCUAACUUCGUG
rnacentral:rRNA from 1 species